rfam:Triticum aestivum genome assembly, contig: Triticum_aestivum_CS42_TGACv1_scaffold_080156_1DS
AAGUUAGUCCUCCGUCCGAAAUUACUUGUUGGAGAAAUGAAUAAAAAUGGAUGUAUCUAGAACUGAAAUAAGUCUAGUUACAUCCAUUUCCCCGACAAGUAUUACAGGACGGAGGGACUAUUAU